AGGCAGGCGGCGCACUCACAUUGGCUGAGGCAUGUCAAGUUCCCACCUCUCCAGGGAGCCCCUGCCAAUCACAGAAGGCUGGGUCCAGCCAGGGGCAGUUGGAAUUUUGAACCUGAAAACUGUAUAAAAGUUCAUGCUUUGCUGUUAUGUAUCUCAGUCUAUUUUUGGUGAACUAUUGCAGGCUGGCAUCACUUUCAGCUGAAAUAAAAUAAAAUACCUCAGUGGCUUCUGCUUCGACUUGUAGGGACAGAGAUUCUGGAGCUCAAAUCUACCCGUAAAUGCCAGAACUGGGGUUCUUCUCCCAAUCUCUACUAUAUGAGGACUAAACUACAAUUGCUUAAAGAGGUUUGGAUAUCCUCACAUGUGAAACUCAAAUAUGAAUCUGCAGUGAGCAGAGAGUAAACAUGAUUCAGAAGGAUCAAGAAGAAAAGCAAAAGGAGCAACAACAACAAAAAAAAACACAAGCAAGCUGUCAAGCUGUCAAGCAAGCAGAAUACCUUGGGAAUUUUGUUCUCAAAGUCAGAAGGCAGAGAGAAGAACAGUGGAGAAGUUGAUUCCCUGGAUCUUGAUGCUAUGGCGCAAGGUUGAUGGGCUUGCCCCCAUAUGAGCUGCCCCGAGUUCCUUCGGGAAGAUGGAGGCGGGAUACAAAAACAAAGUUAUUAUUAUUUUAUAACUCCCAUUUACAAGAAAGUGAACUCCAGCAUAGAAUUGGGAAGCAGCCAUUCAAUGGUACCAAUUAGACACCUAUAUUUGAAGAUUAGAGUGAAUACCAUUAGAAUGAGGAACCAUGCAUUUCUUUCUUAAAAGCAUUUAGCAAUUUUUGUGAUGGAGCUGUCAUUCAUCAGAGCAUGGAGAUAAGCCCUAUGAACAACUACUAACACAAAAAAAACCUUAGCCACCGAAUGACCAAACUCACAAAUUCACAUUAAGUGUUCCCUUACUGAUGGCUUUUUUUUCCGUGUCAACCGGAGUUGCUUCUGGAGAGAAUUGGCUGUCUGCAAGGACAUUACCCAGGGAACGCCCGGAUGUUUUGAUGUUUUACCAUCUUUGUGGGAGGCUUCUCUCAUGUCCCCGCAUGGAGCUGGAGCUGAUAGAGGGAGCUCAUCCGCACUCUCCCCGGGUGGGAUUCGAACCUGGCAGCCUUCAGGUCAGCAACCCAACCUUCAAGUCACAAGGCUUUUAUCCCCUUGGCCACCGGAGGCUCCUUACACAUAAAUUAUCAUUACUUAUUCUUGGGUUAAUGUGUCGUCAAAAUUGAACCUCCAUACAUUUUCUAAUUAAAUUGUUUAAAACUUAGCAAAGUAAGUUAACAGAAAUAAGAGUCCCCUUCUCUUCAGCCACUGAACAGUAUUUCUGGAGGAUUCGGGGGACCAUCCCUGGACAAUAAGGAGUAGGAUGUCCAAAGCUGUUGUGAAGAGAAAGAGCCAGGAAAUAUUUCUGUCAAUUUCAUUUACUAAUCUUAGGAAGAAGAACAUUUUAUUGAUUAGCCCUUAGGCCAUACCAAACUAGUCUUAGGAACCAAACCAAUUAUUUCUGAAGACAGCCAGGGCAUGUAUCUAGCCCCUGCUCUUCCUGAGUUGAGGAAUGAAAGAUUUUAUGGUUAUAGGGAGCACACCAUGUCCCUAUUAAAGCAGCUCCACUGGCUGCCGAUGGGUUUCCAGAUCCAAUUCAAAGUGCAGGUUAUUAUCUAUGAAGCCCUUUAUGCUUCAGGUGCAACCUAUCUUUGAGACCUCAUCUCUUUCUAUGAACUGGCACGGGCUUUAAGGUGUACCAGGGAGGCCUUUCUCUCGUUCCCACCUCCGUCUCAAGUGCGGUUGGUGGGGAUGAGAGAGAGGGCCUUCUCGGUGGUCCCCCCCCCCCCCCCGGCUCUGGAAUGCCCCCCCCCCCCCCCGCCCCGAGGAAGAUCAGGCUAGUUCCUACCCUUCAAACCUUCUGCACACAAUUAAAGACCUGGCUUUUCCGACAAGCCUUCAAUCAUGUUUAGACUCUCUAUUAAUACAUUUAGACUCUUUUUUUUUUAGCACUUUACAAUUCUGAGGUUGACUGCUGCUGUUUUAUCUACAGCAAUUGCUGUAUUUUAUUGUUUUCACUGGGGGUACUGUGAAUUUAUGAUGUUGUGUUAACUGUUUAUUGCCUCUUUUGUUUUGCACUUAUUGUAUUUUGUAUGUCACAAUUUCAGUGUUUUGUGAGCCAACUCGAAUUCCUCUGGGAGAUGGUAGCGGGAUAUAUAUUGUUGUUGUUGUUGUUGUUGUUGUUAUAAAUCAGUUCUUAACACAAGCCAAAUGAGACCUAUAAACACAUUUAGUCAGGUUUGCUUGACCAUCUUAUUCCCAACUUAGUGUGAGAUAUCUAUUUUUCUAGAAUAAUUUGAACAAUGGACUGUUUCCUCAUCUAGCUUUAAAUACUGUUUACCUUCACGUGAAUGACAAUGGCCCCAGCAAAUCCAACUAAAAUAAAAAACUUCAUUAUAGAUCCAGACUUCAUUAUAGAUAGACCAGAUAAGUGCUGUCAUAAUGAGAAAACUGUAAAGAACCUAUUAAAUAUCGUAUGUAGAAAGGUUCGUAUUUUUUUAACUAACCAUGAACAAACACACCCUUUAUAGAAAGCUGUCACUCAGACAGUCAUAACAUCUGAAAACUGCUUCUUCUGCAUAAUAUAUGGCACAUGAACAAUAAACAUAUCCUUUAAUAGCAAAAACAUAUUUUUCCACAAAUGUCAAAACAAAUAUUUGAUGAUCCAAAAUUGGUCUUUUUGCUUUCCCCAGGUACCUCAUUCCUACUGGAGGAGAGAUGGUGAUCCAUUUUUAAAUAUGAAAAAUUUCCUGAAUUUUCCUCUCCAUUGCAAAUACAUUCAAUUACAGUACAUGUACACAAACCUAUAUGUAUCUUUUACAGAUAUAUUUUUCAUAGGUUUUUAAAAAAUGCUCCAGAAAUAUUUUCUUCAGCUGGGUUAUCUUUCACAGAGCAUCAGACCUCUAAAGAACAAUAUGUUAGAAAAGGUGAAUUCACAAAAGUAAUUUCAUUGAUCACCUGUACCACUUGACCAGUGACCACUCUCCAACAUCAGUACCAAAAGGGUUACGAAUCAGUUUUUGGUCAAUUUUAGAUUCAGUUUGAUUAUCUGGGGUGCCGAUUCAGAAAAGUGCAUUGGAUAGGCUACAUCAACUCUAUUUUCUGAUACAGAUUAUAUGCCAUCCACUAGUCGCCAUCUGCUCACCCACAGAAAGCCAUAUUUAAUAAUCUAGAGCUGAUGUGGUCUAUUCAAUGCAACUUUCUGAACCACUGUCCCAAAUAAUCCCAGUAACAGGCCUAAAAACAAAGACAUCAAGAUACCCCCACUUCCAGGAACCACACGGAAUGCCUCUGCUCAGGGGGAGGGAGGAGGAGGAGAAGCAGCAAUCAGGAAGCUUGUUGUCACAGCUUUCGUGACACUAUAAGAGGGUUUCGCGAGACCAAGUGCUCCCGUUGCAACAGUGUAGCAACUGUGAGGCCACGGACCAUAUUUUAGUUCUUGGGGACCACAAGCUGGGAACCAUUGCCCUAUAUUGUCAAGGUUUUCUGAUUGUCUGUAGAACAGCUGAGGGUCAGUUUUGAUAUAUCACAACAAAAUCACAAAAUAUCAUGGCUCAAAGACAAUAAUUUAAGACUUGUUUAGGAGUUGAGCUGUCCAUUCUUUGGUCUGGUUUCUGGAACUAACAGACUAGCUUUGCAAAACAGUAUUAUUCCUGUAGAGUCUGAAAUAAUUGGCAUCCAUUAAAUAAAUAUUUGGGAUCAUCCUUUGCUGCUGACAUUUCAGAACAAACUUGUGUAACAAUAAUAAGCAAUACUAUUUAGAAUUAACCCCAAGCAGUCAACAUGAAACAGAACUCAAUCAAUUUUAGUACUAGAAUAAAACAUUACUGAACCACUAUUUUUGUAGUGUUUUAUUAGGUUUUAUAGAUAUAAAACCUUCCACAUCUGUUUGAGAAUAUCAUGCCUGUACAGUACGUAACAUUCAUUUUUCAGAACUCUAUACACAUGCUAUUGUGCAUUUUGAUCAACUUUGCUUACACAUGGCACAUUUAAAGAUGGGCACCUGAAAUUCUAAUGACUGCAAAUGCUGCUGCAGCAGCCAAAGAGAGGUCUCCAAAAAAGUGUGUGAGUGCAUUGUACAAUAAGGCAGUGGCAAUCUGAGCUUCUUAAAUAUCACCAUAGGAGAAUGAAGAUCAUUUCCCCCCUAAAAUAAACUGAGUUUUUGCAAAGGGGAGUUAAAAGGUAACUGUUUGCAAAAUAGUACAUCCCAAGUUCUUUUAAUUUAUCUCACAAUUGUUAAUUCAUUGUAUAAACUGACUUUGGUGGCAUUAAGGCACAUGUAGAUAUGACAAGCAUGACUCUCCCUGGAAAUUCAUCCUGCACAAAUAGCAAAACGUACCUUUUAAAAUUUCUUUUCUAAAAAAUGAAGUACAUCAUUUUUUGUUAUGAAACUUCUAUACAAAAUUAUAAAAUUUACACCAUCUGAGCUGCCAGAGAGAUAAAAAAAAAAGUAUCAGUUCUCUGUAUAACUUCUACUUUUUUCAUCAUAGGUCAAAAAGGGCCAUAUAAAUACCCCGAAGCCUUAUGGGCAACCCCCCCCCCCUCCCCAAAACAAAAUAGCAGACAACCUCCAUGUAAAAGAGAUGCAUGAUUGCAAUGAAUUCCCCUCUAGGUUAAAAAAACAAACAAGUACUUUAAAAAUCUACUAAAAUGGCAAUGCAGGAAAGAAUGGGAACAAUUCACCGGAGAACAAACAGGAGUUGCACAAGCAAAGAACAAAACGGUAGGAGGUAUUUCUCAGUGCACACUGCGCCCUCUGUGUUCAAAUGCUUGGACUGAAAUAAGGCACUUGUCUUCCAUUGAGAAGCACCUUCCAAAGAAAUGACACAAGGACGAGAUGAGUCGGAUUUCUGGUUAUACACAUGAGAGUUGAUUGAAUGAUAUUCCCAGGAUGCGACAGUAACGGUUCGACAGCGGAGGGGGAAGACACAGGAGGCAAAAAAAACUUGGAGGACGUGAACCUCUAAACAGAAGUGGUCACUCUGUCAUUGGCAUUAUUGACCUCAUUUUUGUUUGAAUCCAGUCCUUUAGCAGCAUUCAUAUCAUUCCGCAAAUUCUCCACUGUCUUUUUCAUGUUCUUUAAUUCCCCGGGGUGUGGAGUGGCUCGCCUUAGGAGUGUUCGCUAAAAACAAACAGUGGAGUAAAUAAUUUUGUUUUGUGUCUCCGUUUUUUAAGAAAAGAGAUAUAUCUAUAUAAAUAUAUAUAUUUGAAUGGUUUUUAAGAAUUUUAUUCUUGCUUUUCAAUCAAUAUUUUAAAUUGUUUUACUUAUGGAACGCAAUCAAGCUACAUGUGUUUUUACUUGUGAUUCUCUUUAUCUUGCAAGCCACUUAAAAUCCCAAAUUUGGAGAAAAGGCAGGUCAUAAUAAAAUGAGAGAGAAAAAGAGACAGGCAGACAGACAGACAUUGUUUAACACUGCCCUGAUUUACCCUCUGGAAAUCAGACAAUUGUGACACCCAAUAAAGUACACACAUAGUACAGUUGCUGUCUUUUUAUCUCCAGCAAAGUUUAUACCAAGUUGCCUUGGGCUGUGCAUAUGUGGCCUAUACUUCAGGAUGAACAAUUAAUUAGUUCUAACAAAAUGAAAUUGAACUGUGUUUGCUUGAUGGCUAAUGCCUACAAGUUUGCUGAAGUUAAAUUAUGAUAGUAAUAUUAUAGUAUUAAACAUGACACAGUUGCAGCAUUUUUAAUCUACAUUUUUAAUCAGCUUUACUGAUCAGGGAAUGGUUGGUCAAAAUGUCUCGGAACUAAUAAAGCACUGGAUUAUGGGGUUGUAUGGAGAACAGAGUAUGUUUUGCCUUUUGUAGUUCACUUAUUAGUUGAUAAUUGUAAGCAAAAAUGCUAUAGACACUUUUCAAGGCAAGACUAUUUCUUUAAGUGUGUGUGUGUGCGUGAAUGCAUACACUUCCUAAUAUUGUUGGAUGAUAAUUUCCAUCAGCCUUGCCUAAUACAAAAAAACAAGGAGAGCUGUUGGGAUUUGCAGCCCAGCAGAAAAGGAGAAACUGGUUUCCAUGUGCUUACUGAUGGCUUAAAUGUAUUCUUUAAAAAAACCAGCAGAUUCUAUUAGAAACUUUUCAAUAUGACAAAAUAAAAGCAUGUUAUAAAUAUAAUAUCUGUAUUUAUGUACUGUCCUUUUAAAAAGUGUUUAUAAACUUAGUACGUUAAUAUUUAUAUUUGUGCUAGUUCCCAGUGUAGCCACCAAAGAAGGUUAAUUGGUUUACGUACAGUCAGAGAUACUUUGGGGCUUUUCAAAGACUACAUUUGGACCAUCAAUAAGCGUGUAGAGGCCAGUUUCCUUUUCCUACUAAUUUACAAUACAUGCUUUUCAACAUCUGACCAUGCUCCCAGAUUUGUAAGUCUAGAACAGAGCUUUCCAAACUGUGGGUCGCGACAUGUUCGAGUAUCGUUUGCAGUGUAUAGGUGUGUUGCGUGAACAUAAUUAGAAAUAUCUAAGUUUGAAAUAAAUAAUAAUGUAUUUUAAAAAUAUAAAUGAAAGGUUUUCAUGAGAUAUGUUGUGUUCCCAUACAUACAGAUUAGUUACCGAAACAUCUGGGAAUGAGCAUAUUACACCCAUAUUAAAGUCACUCCAUUGGCUGCCAAUUAGUUUCUGGACAAAGCGUUGGUUUUGAUCUUUAAAGCCCUAUUUGGUUUGGCUCCAGUUUACCUACAGGACUUCCUUCUUCUGCACACACAGGACUUCCUUCUUCUGCACAAUCUGCUCUUUAGGACUCUUAGGUCAUCUGGGAGGCAGUUAUUCCAACAAGCCAGAACAGAACUGGCAACCAGAGGACCUUUUCAUCGGCUGCCCCAAGAUUGUGGAAUGACUUGCUUGAAGAGCUUUGACAGUGAAACGGGGGUACCAGAAUUUGAAACGCAAUUUCAGAUGCAUCUCUUCUGGCAGGCCUACCCAGUCAAUUUUUAAUCAUGCGUUCUGAUUUGCAUUCUAUUACCACUAUCUAUUAAUUCUGUAGCUGUUUUGCUAUAAGUUUUCAUGUGUGUGUGUGUGUGUGUGUGUGUGUGUGUGUGUUCACCCAUGAAAUUUUUGUAAUUUAUUGUAUUUUUAUGUUGAUUUGUUUUUUAAUUUGUGGUACCCUGCCUCGUGCCAUCAGGAGAGGUGCGUAAUAAAUAAAAUGUAUUAUCAUUA